GCGCGCCUCCCCGCCCCCGCCCGAGGGCCAACCGCCGGGGCGCGCGCCCGGGGGCGGUCUCGGAGCUCGCGAGAGGACAUCAUGUCCGCGGCGGCGGCGGGCGAGGAAAUGUGCUGAAAGCAGACACUACAAGAGAACACUCUAAGAGAAGGAUCCAAGUGAAAGCUACCAAUAAUGGACUCGGGAAUAUUCAACGUAUUAUUUCUCUAUGCUUCACCUAAUCACUUGUGAAAGCCUGUUGCUUCAUUUGAUGGAAGAGAACCCGAGAUGUGACUUGGCUGGCUUCUAGAGGGUUUUGAAUUGGAUGGUGCUAUCUCCUGCCUUGCCUGUACUUUUUUUUUUUUUUUUUUUUUUGGACAAGUUAACCAGCUUCUGAGAGAAAUAUCUCAACUGAUUUUGUAACCAUACUCCUAAGUUUGAUGUUUAGUAGAGAAGUCCUAGUCAGACAGAACUCUGAUUGGCAGCAGCUGUCUGGGCAGUCAGAAAUAUUCACUCUGGACUGGCCAUAUAGGACACCUUAUAUGUCCUGUCACUUGUCUGGCAAGGGUGGCAAGUGAGGCACAGUUGGGAAACUGGACUUACUGGAAGCUUGGACUGUUAACAAAUUACUAGUUUUCAGAGAGAGAAACCUCAUUUGAUAAGCACUUAGCUCUAAAAUCACUAGUAAAUGAAUAAAUGAACUAAUAAAAUAAAAUUAAAAUACUAUUUCAGUUUUUGUUGUGUAAUUUCAAAUCACUUUUAAUCUUAUUUAACUGUUCUAUCAGAAAAGGCAAGUGUAGCAUUAGAAAUGAAUAAUUCAUGACCUUAGUAAAUAGGAAGGUACUGAAUGAAAAUGUAGUCAUGGUCCAUUUGAAUAUUGUAGAACUGCACUAGUGAAAAUAUGGAAGUCGCUCCAAAAGUAAGACCUCCUAAUUAUUUCAAUGGAAGCCACAGCUGACACAAAGGGCACAAUACCAUGACUUGAGAGAGCAAAUUCUCAGCUACAAAACACUAUUUUUCAACAUAGUCAUCAGUAUUAGUUAUGCUUUUUUGCCAGUGAUAAACAAGAGCCUGCAAGCCAUGCUUGUAAAAACCUGUGUGCCCAUCUGGAACAUGACUAGUCUUUCACAUCUCUAUUGCCCCUGCUGAAAUGCACCACCUACUGCCUCACUGUACUAACAGCUGCUGUUUGGUUUCCAUAAAUGUUCACAAAUGCUGAUGAAUGUCAGUGGGGGCCAUUUUUUUCACAUGAGCGAAUUCAGUUCCACCCUUUGCUCCACCCUCACUUCAUGUCAGGCGCCAUUCUGUCACAGUGCCCCUCUGCUGCCAUCUGUCACACAGCAACAACAUCACAGAACGCUGGUGGGAAGGUUCAGCCUCUGCUGCCAUCCCACCAACAGCUGCCUCUGAUGUUGUGGGCUGACAUCAUAAAAUAGGAGGCAUUACUUUCGGAGCAGACCUUGUAUUAAUUUGUCUCUUUCUAAUCACGGUGUAGUAGUUUGCAAUUCUACUCCAUACUGAGGGUAAAUAUGAACAGUCCUCUCUUUUUUGUAGUUGCACUGCACUUCGUUCUGUGCUGAUUAAUAAUAAUGCUUUCUAGGCUUAUUAGUCAUAGGAUUGCUCAGAUUGAAAAAGGCCGCCAAGGUCAUCAAGUCCAACCUCAGUGUAACCAUACUUCCCUACCUCUAACAGCCCUCUGCUAAAUCACAUCCCUGAACACCACAUCCAAACAGAUUUUAAGCACAUUCCUGGGCAGC